rnacentral:lncRNA from 1 species
GUCCACCAUGAUUUCUAUAGGUGAUCAAAAGGUAUUAUUUGAUGGAUUAUAUGAUCUUAUUAGCUUAACAUGACACAUGGAUAUACUAAAUUAAUCAAGAUAGGAUCACCAUAAUAUUAUGAGGCCGAUCAACCUGAUCCGUGUUCGAUCUGCAAUAAGCAGAUUUCAAUAUGGGCUAAAUAGAUUCGGAUCAUAAACAGAUUGACCCAUCUAAAGUGUUUAAAAAUUGAGUCGGAUUCAGGUUCUAGCCUCUUGACCCGUUCAACCCGUUAGAGCCAUUUAAUAAUCUGAUUGGGUUGGGUUAAGUAGGUCAUCUGCUUAGUAAAUAGGUUAACAUGCUAUAUAGGUUAUACAGGUUAAUAAGUUAUACAAGUUAAUAGGUCAA